AGUUCAAGCGGUAGGAGAGCGUCGUAACCGGGCUGAAGUCGUACCGUAAGGAGCGGUGGACUGGUUACGAGUGAGAAUGUUGGCAUCAGUAGCGAGAUGUGGGUGAGAAUCCCACAGGCCGAAAACCUAAGGUUUCCUCAGGAAGGUUCGUCCGCUGAGGGUUAGUCGGGACCUAAGCCGAGGCCGAAAGGCGUAGGUGAUGGACAACUGGUUGAUAUUCCAGUACCACUACCAUCGUUAUUAUCGAUGGCGUGACGCAGGAGGAUAGUGUGUGCUAGCUAUUGGAUGCUAGUCUAAGCGUUUAGGCAGUGAGAGUAGGCAAAUCCGCUCUCAUAAUGCUGAGGCGUGAUGGGGAAGGUUCCACGGAACCGAAGUACAUGAUUCCACGCUGCCAAGAAAAGCGUCUAGAGAGAGAAGUAGUGCCCGUACCGCAAACCGACACAGGUAGGUGAGGAGAGAAUCCUAAGGCCGGCGGAAGAAUUACAGUUAAGGAACUCGGCAAAUUGACCCCGUAAGUUCGCGAGAAGGGGUGCCUACGAGAGUAGGCCGCAGAGAAUAGGCCCAAGCAACUGUUUAGCAAAAACACAGGUCUCUGCUAAAGCGUAAGCUGAUGUAUAGGGGCUGACGCCUGCCCGGUGCUGGAAGGUUAAGGGGAACACUUAGCGCAAGCGAAGGUGUGAACUUAAGCCCCAGUAAACGGCGGCCGUAACUAUAACGGUCCUAAGGUAGCGAAAUUCCUUGUCAGGUAAGUUCUGACCCGCACGAAUGGCGUAAUGACUUGGGCACUGUCUCAACUGUAAAUCCGGCGAAGUUGUAGUGCGAGUGAAGAUGCUCGCUACCCGCGAUUGGACGGAAAGACCCCGUAGAGCUUUACUGUAGCUUAGCAUUGAGUUUUGGUAUUGUCUGUACAGGAUAGGUGGGAGACUAGGAAACCAGGGCGUCAGCCUUGGUGGAGUCAACCUUGGGAUACCACCCUGACAGUACUGAAAUUCUAACUGGCGGCCAUGAAUCUGGUCACAGGACAUUGUUAGGUGGGCAGUUUGACUGGGGCGGUCGCCUCCUAAAAAGUAACGGAGGCGCCCAAAGGUUCCCUCAGAACGGUCGGAAAUCGUUCGAAGAGUGCAAAGGCAGAAGGGAGCCUGACUGCGACACCCACAAGUGGAGCAGGGACGAAAGUCGGGCUUAGUGAUCCGGUGGUACCUCGUGGGAGGGCCAUCGCUCAACGGAUAAAAGCUACCUCGGGGAUAACAGGCUGAUCUCCCCCAAGAGUCCACAUCGACGGGGAGGUUUGGCACCUCGAUGUCGGCUCGUCGCAUCCUGGGGCUGAAGUAGGUCCCAAGGGUUGGGCUGUUCGCCCAUUAAAGCGGCACGCGAGCUGGGUUCAGAACGUCGUGAGACAGUUCGGUCCCUAUCCGUCGCGGGCGUAGGAAAUUUGAGAGGAGCUGUCCUUAGUACGAGAGGACCGGGAUGGACUGACCUCUGGUGUACCAGUUGUUCCGCCAGGAGCACAGCUGGGUAGCUAAGUCGGGAAUGGAUAAACGCUGAAAGCAUCUAAGCGUGAAGCCAACCUCAAGAUGAGAUUUCCCAUAGCGUAAGCUAGUAAGAUCCCUUGAAGAACACAAGGUUGAUAGGUCGGGGGUGUAAGCAUGGUAACAUGUUCAGCUGACCGAUACUAAUAGAUCGAGGGCUUGACCAA
rnacentral:rRNA from 1 species